UAUGCCUCCAACCCUGCUGGCUCAAUGGCAGCAGGGUCUGGGGGAGAAACUUCAGUCUCAGGAGACAAAUAACUAAGAUGUUUGCAAUCUCAUCCCUGGGAUCUAUUUCCUCCAGAAAGUGAGAACAAUCGAAAGGUUGAAGGCCAAGAAAGAGGGGGAAGGGAGUGAAUGGGUGUGGCAGGCUGACGGGAGCCAGCCCGGAAGACUACAGAAGGGAGAUCAGCACUUCUCCACAGGCUGCUGGAAGAAAUCUGCACCUCUGCAUCCCCCGACCCCCUGAAAAUGCUUUCCACGCUCCUGACAGUCAAUUUCCAUCCAUCUGUCAUUGCGAAUCUUCGUGGUCCAGAAACACUUAGCGAAAAGAAGCCUAAGUACACAUUCCUGGAAGUUAAAGAGCUUCUCCUGAGAGUCAGCUGGAAGCCUUUGACAGCUAGACAUUGGGGGCUUGGUGCUCUUCAUGACACAUGAAUCAGUCACACCAACCACUGUCGGCUUUGGAAGUCUAUGCUGAAUUCCAAAACAUUUGGCAAUUUCAACUGCAUUAAUGGAAUUUCCUGAAAUAUGAUGAAAACCUGUGAAUUCAGCAGUUCUUAUUUUGAAGAUGUUUAAUCCAAGUAUAACUUCUUUGAAGAAGUUUCGUGAAUGGGGACAACAUUAAAUAAUAGUCAACUCGGUAAGGUGCUACCAAAUUAAGUAACUCAACUGAAGUGACAAUCAGACGAAGAAAGGCAGGUCACACUUUGUGCUGGGAUUGGCUGGUGGUAACUGUCUGUCAUAGCUGAUUCUGGGGCUGAGCAGAUAUCAAGUUUCUUUUGACAUGGAUUAUAAGACACAACUCCUUUUCAUAAGAACAUUAAACAUGUGAACUACUGAAUUUCAGAUUGAAGGAAAUAGGGUAUUUUGGAACUAGAAUCUCCCUUUUUUCUAAGCAAGAAGUCAACCUCUUACAUGGCAGGAGCCUGCCCCCUUCACCCCUCUAGACUGGUUUUCUUUCCUCUUAUCCUAGACUUCCAAAUACUCUCCCCUGCUCCAGUUACCCUCAUGUCCCUCUAAUCCAAAUACAGCAACUGUAAAGUAAACACAGUGUAAGGGUGUGGCCUCUGCUUGAAAGUGGAAUUGCCUCAUACUUAUUGUCACCAUUCAUUAGUCUUAUGACCAUGAGUACAUUAUUCUGAGUUCAAUUUCUCCUCCAAAAAAAUGAAGAUAAUAGUGCCUACCUCUUGGGUUUUUAGGAAGAUUAUGUGAGAGAAUACAUAGAAACAAUUUAACAUAUAGUCUUGCCCCAGUGAUUUAGCCAAGGAUGUUAGCUGCAGUUAUUACUAUUACUAUUACAGGAUAUUGGUUAAUAUUGACAUUAAAUAUUAAUAUUAUUAUCAUAGUAGUAGAUCUCUUACUAACCAAGAUCCCUAGUUGACUGAUGAAGUUAAAGAGUCAAAUCAAGUGAGGAAUUAAUAAUAAUAAUAAUUAUAAUAACAAUAUAUUCAAACAUCUAACUCUGCCUACAUUGGAUAGCUUGCAGCAGAUCAUUUAUGCCAAGAAAAAACUAGAAGGGCUGAUUAAAAUGCAAAUACAAAUCUGUUCAAAGUCUCCUGGAAGUUGCUGAUGCAGCCAGUACAGGAGAAUUCAAGAUCCUGGAGAGCAGGUAACCACAGACAGGUGAGCCAACAAUCCCUCUCUCUUUCCCCCUCAUGGCAUUUGCAAGGUGUACAGGCAGAGGACAACUGUUAAGGGCAGUGAUGCCAGGAAGGUUUUCAAAAAUCUCACAGAGCUGGAAAGAUAAAAGGUUAUAGUGUAUGGCUUCCAACCAAGUGAAGAAUUGAGAGUCCAAGGUCUCUGAGAAAAGACAGGCAUAGAGAAGCAAGCACAGCCCUCUUUUUCCUCAAAGCUUUUGUCCAGAACAGAAGCUUAAGAUGUGGAACAGAAAUGUGAUGAAAAUUUUAAUCCAGGAUUCUGUUGACUGUGUAAGAUUCUAAUACAGAAGCUCGAUAAUCAAGGAUUUUGUUUUGUUUGCAUUUAAAAUUCAGUUUUGAAGAGAAUUAGAGUAGAAGAUUUCCAGAGUUCAUGUUCUUACUAGGCUGUAUGGAGUUGGUAGCCCAGGCUUUAAUCUUGAUCUCUUUAGUACAUUUUGGCUUAACUACAUUUUCAGGAAUCAAAGACUCCUGGAGUUUGCCUAAAAUAGUACUAUAUCUUAUUUGGAAGUUAAGUCUGUAAUUAAAAACCUCCCCUCAAAAAUGUCUCUGUGCCCAGAUGACUUCACUGGUGAAUUCUUCUAAAUAUUUAAAGAAGAAAUAACACUAAUCUUAAACAUCUCUUCCAAAUAAAAUAUAAAAAACAAAACUUUUUUCCCCGGCUUAUCUUAUCAUGUCAGCAGAGUCUUGAAAACAAACCUAGCAAGGACAUUAUAAGAAUUGAAAAUUACAGUUCAAUAUCUCUCAUAAACAUAGAAAAAUCAAAACCAAAUGUUGUUGUCCAACCGUAUAUAAAAAGAAUGAUGUGUAACAACCAAGUUUGGUUUAUUUCAAUAAUGCAAGGUUGGUUUUAUGUUCAAAAUUCAUCAAUCAAUGUAAUUUACCAAUUAAUUUUAUAUAGGAGAAAAAUCAUAGGAUUAUCUCAAUAAAUGAAUAAAAGUCAUGUAUAAAGCCAA